GGAGAGGUGUCCGAGCGGUUUAAGGAGCACGCCUGGAAAGCGUGUGUGCGUCAAAACCGCACCGAGGGUUCGAAUCCCUCCCUCUCCG
rnacentral:tRNA from 1 species